CUUACCUCUCUGAGCUCAUCCGCCCCUACACACCUGCCCGGCGCCUCAGGUCUGCUGACCAGACAUUAUUAGAAGUACCAAGAACUAAACUGAGGCUCAGAGGGGAUCGAGCCUUUUCUGUUGCUGGUCCCUCUCUCUGGAAUGACCUCCCACUGAACAUUCGGCAAGCCUCCUCGCUGCCCAUCUUCAAAUCCCUCCUCAAAACUCACUUGUAUUCUUUGGCAUUUGACUCAGCAUGCCUUAGAUUUGUUCUUGGUUUUACUGUUCGGUGCUUUCUACCGUCUUUGUUACGGAUUUGUUUUACUGUUUAUUGUAUAUGUUAAAUUGCUCCAUAUACAGCACUUUGUAUGCAGCGAUGGCUGUUCGAAAGUGCUCUAUAAAUAUAAUUGAAUUGAAUGAGUGGCUUUUGUGUUUUACGAACAGAACUUUGCCACAGCUGCCAUUGUGCGCAAACUGCUGCGUGAAUAAAUCCAAUCAAGCACAACUUUGCGGGUGGAGCGAGUGGUGAGGAGAGAAGUUCAAGCAAGGUCCAAUGUAAACAAUGUCAUGCCAUUGAAAGCCAAAAGCGCAGCAUAGCUUUUCAAAUCAAAGUGUUCCAAUCGGACAGUUAUUUGCUCAUGAAUUUAAUCAGAAGUGAAUCAAACAAAUCUAAAAUUUUGUGGUAUUUUUCCAUUUUCUUCAAAAACACUUUGUAGCCACCCUAGGUGCAGCUACCAGUGGCACCCUUCUAUUAAGUUGUCAGUCAAUUUAUAAAUCUAUUUGAGUUAGGGUGCACUACUUAAGGUCACAGUGAGAUUGGCCAGCAGCAGACUCUAGUUAGAAGCAAGGAGAAACAUCCAACAGGAAGAAGACACACUGAGUGAGGUUUUUAUAAAAAAUAUAUUGAGUGAAUAUUUACAAUAGGAGUAGAUGGGAAACUGCAACAGACUGCAUAAAGAAUAACAAGGAAAAAAAACAUACAGUGAGCUAAAUUGUUGUCAGUUGUUGUUUUUGUAUUCGAUCUGACCCAUAAAAAAUGACUAAGAUCUCAGAUUUAACAAAAAAAAAAGGGGGGGAAUCCUUUCAACUGUCCUACCACCCUCCAGGGGACGGGUGGCUUUGAAGUCCAAGAUGUCCUUCACCAGCGUCCCACGUGGCAUCCAAUCUCCAGACUAGUAGUCCAACCUUUUGAUGGUCUAUGAGUCCAAAAAAAAAACAGCCUGCACAAAAUGCGCAAGGCAUUCACUAAACAUGGCAAUAAUCGGCUAUGGAAAAUAACGAUUUUCAAAAAUUGGCUCGAACGAAGGCCACAGCGCUAUUCGCCGUGAGCACGUUAGCUUAGCUCAAUGCUAAUACUU